CCUGCGGUUUUAUGGGGACCAUAUCCGACAGCAUGAAGUUGGCCAGGAGUCCAGGAAGGGGAGAAGGGAAUGGGGCAGGAGCUCACUUCUCUGCCUGCGGCCGUUUGCUCCCGAGGAAGCGCCUGCCUCCAGAGCAUACAUAUCCAUGUAGCCUCCUUUACAUUGAUUCAGCACAAUUUGGAAAACACUUGCUGCUGCUAGUGGAAAAUUCUCCCCACAACUUUCUACCCAGCUGCUCUUAUUAUUAGAAAAUUCCUUUCAUCUCCAUGCGACUAUUUUCUUUAUUGCAGUGUUACCCAGGAGGCAGGUUGUCCAGAGGGGUGCAGGGAGGCCUCACUGAAUAACGUCUUCUUGGGAGCCAAAGGACUAACCAUAUCUGUCUGCUCACGACAGCUGAGAUUCCCCCAAGCUAAUAUAUUCAGCCUUGCCAGACAUCCACAUGUGUGUUGAAGACCACACGUGAACCUGACUGGCAAGACACCAAAACCUCUCCAGGUAUCUGACAUGUAGCCAUCAAAGCAGCUCAUAGGAUGGUCGUUCAGCCACUUCACAGCAUUCCUAUCCUCUUCAAAAUGCAGGAUGAUGAAGCAGAAUCCAUCCAUGUGGCCCAAGGAAUUAAACAGAGGUUAAUGCAUUAGGUUUAAAGAGAAGACCUUGGGAAGAAAUGAUCUCCAAGUGGUGUCCAGUUGGGUCCGAUGCUUGCCCAGGGGGCGAGAGGCUGCGAGGUGCUGCCCCUUGCCUUCACAUUUAAGCUUCACCACUCAACUUAAGCACUAACGCUGUCAAAGCACUGGCCUUCUAAACGCUGAAAAGCUGAAGGCGUAUUGCUGAUUUGAUAGUGCCUGGAUUUCCAAAGUUGUUCGAACACAUCUGAUGACUGCACUUUGUGUAACACCAAAAUUGAAGUAGCUCUGGUGCUCAGCAGGACUGGAGUCACCCUCCUGUUGGUUGGUGCUCACAGCUGAGGGAAGGACCACAUUAAAAUGGACCAUUUGGCAGCAGCAGAGCCAGAGCUGCCUUUGCUUUUCAGGCAGGGAACUGCAGCUCUCAUCCAUCAAAGAAAGACUACCCUCCACUGCCCUGCAGCCGCUCUUCUUGACUGAUGCUCAGUGUAGUUGAAUGGAGCCUUUGAAAAGUCAUUUCCCAUCCAGGGGAGAUAUUUCUGCAUUGCGGCUCCCAGGGCACGUGGUGAAGCAAGACAGCAGCUGACCACCUUGUUGGUGCUUCCUAUCUCCCUCCUUGAAUGUAAGAACGGUGAGGUGAUUGUUGAGCCCUAUGGCAGAGCGGCUGUGAGCCAAAGUGGCCUCGUGUUGCUGCCAGAGACCUGCUUAUGUACAGUCCUGCAUGGGGCUGCAUUUUUUUACCCUACUGAGUGCUAGGAUGCAUCCCUGUCUUUACACAUCCUAUGUUCUGCUGGCUGUGUAACACAUUGGCUGCCUUCUCAUUAGAUAAGGAUCUGAUGGUGCUUUCCUACCCUUGUGCGAAUGGUUUCUCACCCAAAUGCUGCCUGUACAGCUAGGAAAGCCUGCUGCUCAGUCCUGUCUCAGUGUCUCCAUGUGUCUGGAUUCUCCCUUUCGCCCCAUCAACCAAGCACAGCGCUUGGGUAUUGCAAUGACCGGGGCAGUGGCUGGUCUUGGUCUUGUCUGCAAGGUCUCCUGGAAGAAGACAGAGGAAGUGUUUCAGCCUCCCAGCUUUCCUGGAGCUUUGCUGCAUUUCAAGUCCCUAGUGUUGUAACUCUUUGUGUUUAUUAAACCACGUUCUUGAGGAGAACAUUGACAACUACAGCCACUCUCCCACUUGGGAAGCAGAAGGAAUCCCUGCAGCAUCCCAGGCCUGUUGGCACAUCCCUUGCUGUGCCAUAUCCCAGGCCUACUGCCACACUGCUCGCUGCGCCACACCUGCACUCUCUUGCCUGGCACUCGCACAUCACCUGUGUGUACCCUUUUUUUCCGCUCGCAACUUGAAACUUUUCCAGAGUU